rnacentral:rRNA from 1 species
GACGAACGCUGGCGGCGUGCUUAACACAUGCAAGUCGAACGGAAAGGGCCUGCUGUUUUGUUGUGCUCGAGUGGCGAACGGGUGGGUAACACGUACGUAACCUGCCCUCGACUUGGGGAGAACUUCAGGAAGCUGGGGCGAAUACCGGAUCGUAGCUCCUGCUGCAUGGAGGUGGGUGGCAAGGUUAAGCGGUAGGGGUUUGACGGGCGGCUAAGGAGCAUGUUGGUGGAGUAGUGGCAUACCAAGGCUUUGACGGGUAGCCGGCAUGAGUGGGUGACCGGCCACAUUGGGCCUGAGAUACGGAGCAGACUCCUACGGGAGGCAGCAGUGGGGAAUAUUGCACAAUGGGCGGAAGCCUAAUGAGGCAACGCCGGGUGCGGAAUGACGGCCUUCGGGUUGUAAACCGCUUUCGGCUGUGAAGAAGCGUGAGUGACGGUAAUGAGUAAAGAAGCACCGGCUAACUACGUG